rnacentral:miRNA from 1 species
UUGAACCUUGCCGUCUUACAG